UGUGGUUGGGGACAUUUGAUACAGCGGAGGAAGCUGCCAGAGUUUAUGAUGCUGCGGCAAGGGAGUUUCGCGGUACAAAGGCCAAGACCAAUUUUCCUCCUCCGGCAGUUAUUAAGGACUCGUCGCCGGCACCGUUGAAUCUUAACCUCGGAAGUGGGUCUUCCGUUGGUAGUGCGAGGAGUUUCACGUAUCUGAAACAGAACAACCUCAACCUCGGCGGUGGGUCCUCCGUUGGUAGUGCGGCGAGUUUCACGUAUCUGAAACAGAACUAUCAGUUUCGUCAUGUUCCUGCUGCCGGAGGUUUUGCUCCGCCAUCGGCGCGUGAUUAUCAGUAUUUAGAGG
rnacentral:lncRNA from 1 species